CGUGUUCCGUAGGGGCGCUUUGCGACAAACGCGAGGCUGAGAGGAACCCUUGAACCUGAUCCGGGUAAUACCGGCGUAGGAAAUCGGAACCGGGCACGAU
rnacentral:ncRNA from 2 species